AUACGGAAGGUCCGGGCGUUAUCCAGAUUUAUUGGGUUUAAAGGGAGCGCAGGCGGAGAUGCAAGCGUGACGUCAAAUUUCGGGGCUCAACCCCGUCUCGCGUCGCGAACUGCGUCCCUUGGUUGCGGGAAGGGGAGGCGGAACUCGUGGUGUAGCGGUGAAAUGCAUAGAUAUCACGAAGAACUCCGAUCGCGAAGGCAGCCUUCCGGCCCGUCAACGACGCUCAUGCUCGAAGGUGCGGGUAUCAAACAGGAUUAGAUACCCUGGUAGUCCGCACAGUAAACGAUGGACACCCGCGGUUUGGCCUGUAUGGCUGAGCCGCCAAGCGAAAGCGUUAAGUGUCCCACCUGGGGAGUACGCCGGCAACGGUGAAACUCAAAUGAAUUGACGGGG
rnacentral:rRNA from 1 species